UUUGCAGCGAUCCUACUGGUUGCCAUUGUUAUCGGUACAACGGUCGACCAUUUCGUGGGCCUACAGUCCGAGUUCAAGAAAAAACGCGGUCUCCUGUUCCAAGUCGCCAUGGCCUUCUCGGCGAAAUCCAACACCCGGAUGUUACUCACUGUAGCCAGCAAAGAUCAAGUUGACCAGCACUCUCUGCAAUUCUUGCAUGGCGUGCGAUGCUUAACCAUUAUGCACAUUGUGUUCGGACACGUCAUCGUGGUUAGGACGGAUACUUUCUCACGACUGCUGAAUUUAUUGAUUAUUACAACAGAGUGGCCGAAGAUGAUAAUAUCCGC